CGCCGUUGCGGUGACGGCGAGCGCGCUUUCCCACUCCUGGGCUGGUGCUGGAAGGGGCAGCGAAAGCAGCGGUGCAGAAGGCUGGGCCGGCCGCUCCCGGGAAGAGCUGGCGGGCCAAGCUGCAGGAACAAAGGCCCUGCGACCAAAGCCUUAGCACGCGCUCUUUUGGUUCGAGAUAUAUUUUGAUCGAUAACCAGUUAGGAUAAAAAUAUGAGACACGCAGAAUGUACACAUCACCAAAAAUACCAUUUUGUGAACUUUUCAGUCUUGCCAAGAAAAUUGGAUCAGAGCCCCAAAGGAAUACCAAGAUCAAGAUUCACCCACGGGCUGUCUCAAAACAUAAAGAAGUGCCAAGGGUCAGUUGUCUCCAGCCAGAGGCUCCAUGUGGAUACCGAGGAGUUGGGAAGCAUGGAGGCCUGUGCAUCCAUUCCUUCACAUUCUUCCUUUGAUCAAACCCAGGUUUGCAACAGUCAAGAUCCUUGGACUAUGGUACAAGCCCAAAUAUAAUUUCCUCAAAAAUGGUUUGAAGGUGGAAACAUUUGGAUUCUCAUCCUGAAUUGAUAUAAAUGGACCCUUUCAAAUUAUCCUAAACACAUAGGUUUUUAAUAUGAAAAGAAGCACAAAUUGCAUCUUACUCAAAUUUUAGAGACCACAUUUUUGCUCAAGCAGCAGUUCUGUGCCCCUCCCAACUGAGGGAAUACCUGUCUCCAUGUGCAGCCUGUGAACUUGUGCCCAGAUGGUUUUGAUGCCAAGAUUCCUGAUUCCACCAGAGAUUCUCUUCAAAACAUAUUGGGACCAGCCACCCAUUCCUGUUGGUUGCCUUUCCCACCUCCCUUCCAGAAGGAACAUUCUUCAUUUAGAAAGCAGUCAUAGCAGACAAUGAUCUCUUCCUUCCUAGCUCCCUCAAUCAAGUUGCCCUCACUGAAUCCAGGUGUCAUCUCUCUGUCAUGUACUGGGUUCACACAACAAACAACCAAUCAUUACAAUCUGUGGGAUCUUUUAAAAUGAGAACUUGGAGGAAGAUCUCGGGAGUUUGGACUGAGAUGUGCUCAGAGUACAAAUCCAUCCAAUUCCUAAUUAAACCCUCAUUUUAAAAAGACCCCAAGCCAUGAAAGCUAUCUGUCCGUGAACUGUCAACUUGGGUUGAGUGCAAAAGGGGAUCCUCCAUGGGCAUUAAAGCAGGGAAGUUGUGGGAGAAAUUUGUCAGGCAUCCCUUUCUCAGCAAUACAUUUACCAUGUCUUGAGUUUCUGGCCAGUCAGGAGGAAGGUGUCCAAGCCAUUACUGGACAAUCUGCAGGAAACGUACCUGCUGUACCUGGACGGCAGGAGCCCACCCUCCCCCACCUGGGACCUCAGCAAAGGCUUGAAAUGCUCUCAGUCGGAGAGCAACUUGGCAUUAAUGGAAGUAAAAAAUAAAUCUAAAAUGUU